GGCUUGGUGGUGGAUGGUCCACAUCUGCAUUACUUGAAGGAGAUGUGGAUCAUUAAAGCAGAAGAAGCCUGUUCAAUUCGGGCCCGGGCCA